rnacentral:rRNA from 1 species
GUGGGGAAUAUUGCACAAUGGGGGAAACCCUGAUGCAGCAACGCCGCGUGGAGGAUGACGCAUUUCGGUGUGUAAACUCCUUUUAUAAGGGAAGAUAAUGACGGUACCUUAUGAAUAAGCACCGGCUAACUCCGUGCCAGCAGCCGCGGUAAUACGGAGGGUGCAAGCGUUACUCGGAAUCACUGGGCGUAAAGGAUGCGUAGGCUGUAAUAUAAGUCAGAAGUGAAAUCCAACGGCUUAACCGUUGAACUGCUUUUGAAACUGUUUUACUAGAAUAUGGGAGAGGUAGAUGGAAUUGGUGGUGUAGGGGUAAAAUCCGUAGAUAUCACCAGGAAUACCGAUUGCGAAGGCGAUCUACUGGAACAUUAUUGACGCUGAGGCAUGAAAGCGUGGGGAGCAAACAGGAUUAGAUACCCCAGUAGUCC